UUUUUUUUUUUUUUUUUUUAUGUAUUAACUAAUGACACGAUUUUUAACCUUUUAUGAAAAGUGAUAUCUUGUUUGCCUUCUCUAUUUAUAAGUUCUUAUAUAUAUAUAUAUAUAUUUAUAUUCAUUUAUAUAAUUAUUUAUAUAUUUAAUUAUUUUAUAUUUAAUUAUUUACAUAUUUAUCUAUUUACAUACUUAUCUAUUUACAUAUUUAUUUAUUUACAUAUUUAUUUAUUUAUUUAUUUAUCACAUUUUCAUACAACUUGUUAUUUUUAAUUAGAAAAAACAGUGGUAUACAUGAUGGGCGAACAUAGUAAAGUAGUAGGUGUAGAUGGAAUAAUCCCAGAACAAAAAGAAAAAGUUAGUACUGGGAUAAAUAAACAGAUAACAGUGGAAUUAGUUGAGAAACAAAAAGUUGCGUUAAAAACAGAACUAAAAGAAAGGGAAGAAGGAAUUUAUAAUUCUUUACCUGAAAGUAAAGAAUUACUUUACGAUGAUUUAUUUAAAAAGUUGGAAACUGGUGAUGAAUAUGUACAAAAGAGAAGUUUGGAAAACUUGUUGGAAAUGCUUCAAAAAAAUAAUACGUCGGAAGAUAUAAUACCUAAUCGUCGUUGUUUAAGACUAUUAUUAACUUUAUUUAAUAAGCACGUUGUGUUAGUACUUGAAUGUUUGUUGAGUAUAUCUGCACAUAGGCAAAAGGAGUUAAUAGACAUCGGCUUGAUUGAGCAACUAUAUGACAUGAUAACUGAGGAUGCUAAUCAAGAAAAUAAGCACACUGACGGAUAUAUAAUGCUACUGGCAAAUUUGACAAGAUACAAAAAUGGUGUAUAUCGACUAUUGAAUCUUAAUGAAUAUAAUUUGCAUAAACAAGAUAAUAAUGAGUUUUUAAUUAAUGCGUAUUUAAACAAAUUGUUACAUUUUUUUUUCUUACCUAUAGCUGAAUGUUCUAAUAAAAAUGUAAAAGAUAAGUAUAUAUAUGUUGGGUAUAUAUUAAUAAAUAUAAGUGCAGUAAAAGAAUGUGUUCCUUUUUUUAAGAGGGUUAAUUUUUUAAAUAAAAUAUGUACUCAGUUAUUAGUUGGAAGUAGAUUAAAGUUGUUAGUAGCUUUUGCAACUAACUUAAGUUUACAUGAAAGUAUUCAUGAUUAUAUAUUUGAUGAAAAAUGUGUUAUGUUUCCAUAUUUAUUAAAAAGUUUAUGUACACAACCGAACACAGCUAGUAAUAGUGACAUUCCAAUAGAAACCCCAUCACUUAAACCUACGAACGACUCUAAUAUAAACGAAAAUAUUUCACAAAAAAUAACAGUACCAACAGCCACUAAAGAAAUCAAACAAAAAAUAUUAGCGCUUAUAUGUCAUUUAUAUAAAAAUAAUAAUACCAAGAGUAGACUUGUCAAAUAUGGUAUACGCGAAUCUAUAAAAUAACGGGUGUUUCGAGAACUAUGAAAAAAACUAAUAUAAGUUUAUUUGUUUAUUUAUUUAUUUACUUAUUUAUUUAUUUACUUAUUUAUUUAUUUACUUAUGUUUUUAUUUUUUUUUUGGGAAAAUUACUUUUUUAAAUGGCCCUAAAAAUUACAUUAAAUUUGUCAACCUGCCAACAUGUCAACCAAUUAUAGGUUUAAUACUUUGAAAAUUAUGUCUAUCUUUUACAUAUUUAUAUAAAAUUAAAAAUUUUUUUUUUUUUGUGUAUAUCUUUUAUUUUUAUGAUAUAUAUAUAUAUACUCUUCUUUAGUGUUUGUAUACAAUUUUUGUUCUUUUUUUUAAUAACAUUUAUAUAUAUAUUUUAUCUGUUAAUAUGUAACGGAUGUUACGAAAAACAAAACGUUAUUUUAAUUUUUUUUAUUUUAAUGGAAACUUUUUUUUUUAAAUUGCUUGGUAUUCAUGUGUAUAGCACUGUUGAGAAAUAAUAUGAAAAAAUGGACACACUCAAAAAAAAAAAAAAAAAAAAAAAAAUGAGUAUAUAGCCAAGCGUAAAACUUAAAUAUAACAGUAAAAACAAAAACAAAGCCAAAUCGAAAUUAUAAAAAAAAUAAUUUACUUACAUUUUUAAAAAGCUUUGAAAAUAUGAAUAAAUAAAACAACAAAAUUAUGCA
rnacentral:lncRNA from 1 species